rnacentral:sRNA from 1 species
AUCCGGCGCGAUCGUCAGCAGUUCGUCUGGAACGUGGCGGGUUGCUUCGAGAUGAUUUCCAAAGC